CGCUUGAGGCUUUGAUCUUAAGUAUUGUCUGCCCAAUGAAUUUCAAUGGCCGCAGUAUUUUGACUGUGCAAAGGUAGCAUAAUCAUUUGUCUUUUAAUUGAAGGCUUGUAUGAAUGGCGUGACGUAGGGGUAGCUUUCCCUUUAGUAUGUUAAAAUUUAAUUUGUAAGUCAAAAAGCUUACUUAAUAGCGCAGGACGAGAAGACCCCGUAGAUCUUUAUAAUAUGUGGUGAGAAGUACGUUAGGUGUUUAAUAACCCUCGCACUCUAAUUAUUUGGUUGGGGUGACAUGAAUUGAAUCAACAAUUUUUACUAUUACCUAAAUUAGUGGUUUUGUGACCCGGUACCCGAGUAAAAGACUAAGUUACCUCGGGGAUAACAGCGUAAUCUACUUUUAGAGCCCUAAUCAAAGAGUAGGGUUGCGACCUCGAUGUUGGAUUAAGAUACAUUUUAAACGCAGCCGUUUAAUUAUGGGGUCUGUUCGACCUUUAAAUUCUUACAU
rnacentral:rRNA from 1 species